GGAGGAUUAGAAGGAAAUGAAUGAUUAAUAUAUUUGUCCAUAAAGCUGAUAUCUCCUCCAUUACAGAUGAUGUUGGUGAAGCAGUGAGAGUACGAUCCAUGUCUGGUGAAAUGAGACGAGCAUCUUUGACUGUACUCCUCAUUCUGAGCAUAUUUCCAUGUGUGUGUCAGGGAGUGGUCGUCACUCAGACACCGACGUUGCUGUUCGUGAAGGAGGGAUCGCCAGCAAAUAUGACUUGUAGCCAAGAUACUGACUAUGUAAACAUGCUCUGGUACCAACAGAAACCAGGAGAAGGACUAAAGCUUAUGGUCCAGUCAGUGGAGGGUAAUAAACAGCAGACAAUGGAACCAGGCUUUGAAUUAGACUGGGAGCAAAAGAGAAAUGACAUCAAGAAUUCCGUUCUACAACUCAUCUCAGCCAAAACGCAGGACUCGGCUGUGUAUUUCUGUGCAACAUCCCACAGAAUGAAACCUAAGGGAGGCAGCUGGCAUUAA